rnacentral:rRNA from 1 species
UGGGGAAUUUUGGACAAUGGGCGCAAGCCUGAUCCAGCAAUGCCGCGUGAGUGAAGAAGGCCUUCGGGUUGUAAAGCUCUUUUGUCAGGGAAGAAGCGGUAGGAGCUAAUAUCUCUUGCUAAUGACGGUACCUGAAGAAUAAGCACCGGCUAACUACGUG